rnacentral:tRNA from 1 species
GCUGUGGUGGUGUAAGGGUAACAUCUAAGCUUCCCAUGUCUUAAUCGUAGCCUGCUUAGGCACCGAGUUCGAGUCUCGGCCACAGCA